ensembl:lncRNA
CCUGGCUUUAGUUUUAGUUUUUAUUUAUUAUUAUUAUAUAGUCAGUAACUUUAGUAUGUCAAAUUAUUUAAUUUAGUUGCCAAGGCAACCUUAAGUUUUUUCAUCCAAUAUUUAUAUUUUAUUUUAUUUCAUCUUAUUUAGAUUUGUAAUAGCUUUAAUUUAGUAAACGUCUCUCACUCGUGGUAAAAUCAGUGUAAAGUGCUUUAAUGUUAAUGUCUGUGUUUGUUUAACCUGCAGUAGCUGCUGCCUCAUCCACAGCAUCCUCCGCUGGGUCUUCAGGUGUUUCUUCAGGUGAUAUUUCUCCAGGUGCUGGUUCUUCAGGUGCUGGUUCUUCGGGUGCUGGUUCUUCAGGUGAUGUUUCUUCCGGUGAUGUUUCUUCAGGUGAUGGUUCUUUAGCUGGUUCUUCAGCGUCUGCAGCUGUAACAGAGAUCUCACAAUCAGACAGGUGACACCAUCCCACAGAUUUGUUCCUGUCAGCAUCAGGAGCAUCAGCGGCUGUCAGAUCCUAUCUGUCUAACACGUGGCUUCUCGUCUGUGCCUGAAGCGUAACUCAAGCUCUCCUCAAGCGCACAGGUGACCAUAAAUCACACGCACAGUCUCCGUCGCCUCGCUGGAAUCCAGCAGUAAAUCUCCCGCGGCGCUGUUUUCAGCGUAUAUAAGAUCUAUAUGUUACGUGUCGCGACAGUUCUGCAUUUCUACUGUAACAUCAGAAACAUCCAGUGAGGGAGUCUAUCAAGAACAGACCUGUUCCAGACCCUCAUAUCGGCUUUACAAGAGCUGUUCAUUACUAGGACUGGAUGACACUGCCUUAACAUGACAAUACGUACAAAUACAGGUUUGUUUCCCAUCAUGCAAUCUCAGAUGACAUCACAGCUAACAGGGAACAUUUUUUAAACGUUAUAUCAAUGUUAGGACAAAACAUUCUCAAAGUACUGUUUAUGGAACUUUAUGAAUAUUUGACAACAUUGAGAAAUUCUCAUAAUGUCCUUAUGAUGUUAUUUGUACGUGAUGAACAUCUAGGAAAUGUUUU